UACAGAGGUCUCAAGCGUUGUUCGGAUUCAUUGGGCGUAAAGGGUGUGUAGGUGGCGCGCUAAGUCGGGUGUGAAAUUUCGGAGCUUAACUCCGAAACUGCAUUCGAUACUGCGUGGCUAGAGUGCUGGAGAGGAGACUGGAAUUUACGGUGUAGCAGUGAAAUGCGUAGAUAUCGUAAGGAAGACCAGUGGCGAAGGCGAGUCUCUGGACAGCAACUGACGCUGAGGCACGAAGGCCAGGGGAGCAAACGGG
rnacentral:rRNA from 1 species